UACGAGGGGGGCGAGCGUUGUUCGGAAUUAUUGGGCGUAAAGGGCGCGUAGGCGGUCAGCACAAGUCAGUUGUGAAAUCUCCGGGCUUAACUCGGAAAGGUCAACUGAUACUGUGCGACUAGAGUGCGGAAGGGGCAACUGGAAUUCUCGGUGUAGCGGUGAAAUGCGUAGAUAUCGAGAGGAACACCUGCGGCGAAGGCGGGUUGCUGGGCCGACACUGACGCUGAUGCGCGAAAGCCAGGGGAGCGAACGGG
rnacentral:rRNA from 1 species